rnacentral:rRNA from 1 species
AUUGAACGCUGGCGGCAUGCCUUACACAUGCAAGUCGAACGGUAACGCGGGGCAACCUGGCGACGAGUGGCGAACGGGUGAGUAAUGCAUCGGAACGUGCCCAGUAGUGGGGGAUAGCCCGGCGAAAGCCGGAUUAAUACCGCAUACGACCUACGGGUGAAAGCGGGGGACCGUAAGGCCUCGCGCUGUUGGAGCGGCCGAUGUCGGGUUAGGUUGGUGGUGGGGUAAAGGCAGCCCAAGCCGACGAUCCGUAGCUGGUCUGAGAGGACGCCCAGCCACACUGGGACUGAGCCACGGCCCAGACUCCUACAGGAGGCAGCAGUGGGGAAUUUUGGACAAUGGGGGCAACCCUGAUCCAGCCAUGCCGCGUGCGGGAAGAAGGCCUUCGGGUUGUAAACCGCUUUUGUCGGGGAAGAAAUCUUCUGAGCUAAUACCUCGGGAGGAUGACGGUACCCGAAGAAUAAGCACCGGCUAACUACGUGCCAGCCGCCGCAGUAA